GUACAGUUUAAGAAAGAUAUUUCCUCCCUUAUAUUUAUAUGGACAUUACUCCAUUGUGGACAUUUUUUUUUAAUUUUUUUCUAUUUUCUCUAAGCUGUACUACUAGUACUGAUAUCAGAAUCCUUACAAAUAUCUACAAGCAGGGUAUUAAACCAUUUUUAUUUUUACUGAACACCAGAUUUUGUGGAAGUGUGGACAUUUUGUAAAUA